rnacentral:misc_RNA from 1 species
GAAAAAAAAAAUUUGUGGUUGAUUUAAGAAAGAAGUUAUUAUAUAAAUUCCAAUGGGUUAUAUAUUUAUUUUUUGCGGUGGCAUAUCAGUAAAGUCAAUUAUAUGAUUUUUUGUUUAACAGGCCAAUACCAACUGUCCCGAUGAAACAUAGGAAAAAGCGUUGUCUAUAUGCCAAAUGGACCAUUUCCUGCAACUGAUGUGGACAAUCACAGCCUCAAUAAAACAGAAAGCAACAACUAACCCGAAAUGUGGAAAGAGAACAG